rnacentral:lncRNA from 1 species
AAAAGUAAAGAAACUUUAACUCCCCAAAGAUUAAAAAUGAUAACUUUCCGACAGAGAAGCAAAAGUAGAAAGGAAAUUAUUUGAGGGGUUUGUGUGAAGAAGAAACGAGACUGAAAAAAUGGCAACUCACCAAGGAUGAAGAGUAGCAGAUGGGAAGAAGAAGAAAGAAUUAAAUAUUUAGUAGUGAUAUAUUUCACACCAUAAAGAAUAUAAACAAUUACUUACUUUGUCGCAGUGGUUUAGCGAUUCAAUUUUGGAAUUUUUGCAAAAUUGACCUACAACUUAAAGUCAAACACAAAACUAACCUCCCUUUUUUUUGAAAAUUGAUUUUGCCCUAUUCACCCCACAAGUUCAUAUAAUUUAUGAAAAUGCCAUCAAUUUUUUUUUUUUUUUUUUCGAAAAUGACAUUUUUACUCUCUCACCCUCAUCAUCUUCAAGUAAUUACAAGAUUGCCAUUGUCAUCAAUACCACAACCACCAUGAACAACCAAUUUGAAGCUCUUAAUGCUCCCAAAAUCGAUUUACCCUUCUUCUUUUUCAUUCUUGUGAACUAAACAAAACAUGUCUCUCACUUUCUCUCCACAAUGAGCUAAAAAAAACCAAGAUUUUGAUUCUAAAAUUUUUUUGGUUCAUAGAGUCAUAGAAGCUAACGAUUAUGGGUGGGUGACUUUCGUUUGUGA